CUCUGUCUGAGAGCUGCUGGAGGUGCUGAGACGCUGGAGGACGACUAGGGAUCAACCAACAAGGAUUCCUCAACGUGUUUCUGGAGCGGAGGCGAGUUGGUAGAGGAGCCGUGAAUCUGGAGGAUGACCGUCACUCUACCAACAAGGAUCCUCGUCUAUCAUGGAUAUUUAACUGCAGUUUUGUGAGUAUCCCAACUUAACCAUGAAGAGGAACUGCAAACUGUAAGUCAUAAGUUUCUCAUUACUCUUGGGCACAUUGGUGUAUUUUGGCUUCCGGUUGAGUUAGCUCAUUACCUGAAGGUUGAUCUGAGUAGUAAGGAUGUUUUAUUUGUUCAUGGGUUACUUAGGUGUUUGGUUUAUGUUGGUUUUAAUGAUUUGUUAAAAUGGUUACAGGCUCCAAGUUAUUGUUGUAAGCUGGAGUAAUGGGUUGGGU